rnacentral:ncRNA from 1 species
UUGUUGCGUAUUGUUUCUACUCUAAAAGUAAAGAAAGCAGAUACGUACUCUUGCCUGAAACGAGAUAAAAAGAAGAAUUUGAGCGUGUCUGCUCGCUGCUACACCUAGGGAGGAUAGCAGUCCAAAAUGGUAAUC